AGCUCCAAUAGCGUAUAUUAAUGUUGUUGCGGUUAAAAAGCUCGUAGUUGGAUCUCGGCGGGCAGGGGACGGUUCGUUGUUUGACGCUACUGUCCCAUUGUCCCGUGAUGUUUGGUCGGAGGUUCCGGGGUGCUCUUAACCGAGUGACCCGGGGCGCCGUCCGGUUUACUUUGAAAAAAUUAGAGUGCUCAGCGCAGGCUUUCCACGCUUGAAUAUCAGUGCAUGGAAUAAUGGAAUAGGACGUCGUUUCUAUUUUGUUGGUUUUUCGAAAUCGACGUAAUGAUCAAUAGGGACAGUCGGGGGCAUUAGUAUUCCGGCGACAGAGGUGAAAUUCUUGGACCGCCGGAAGACUCACUACUGCGAAAGCAUUUGCCAAGAAUGUUUUCAUUAAUCAAGAACG
rnacentral:rRNA from 1 species